rnacentral:rRNA from 1 species
AUUGAACGCUGGCGGCAUGCCUUACACAUGCAAGUCGAACGGUAACAGGUCUUCGGAUGCUGACGAGUGGCGAACGGGUGAGUAAUACAUCGGAACGUGCCUAGUAGUGGGGGAUAACUACUCGAAAGAGUGGCUAAUACCGCAUGAGAUCUACGGAUGAAAGCAGGGGAUCGCAAGACCUUGUGCUACUAGAGCGGCCGAUGGCGGAUUAGGUAGUUGGUGGGAUAAAAGCUUGCCGAGCCGACGAUCUGUAGCUGGUCUGAGAGGACGAUCAGCCACACUGGGACUGAGACACGGCCCAGACUCCUACGGGAGGCAGCAGUGGGGAAUUUUGGACAAUGGGCGAAAGCCUGAUCCAGCAAUGCCGCGUGCAGGAUGAAGGCCUUCGGGUUGUAAACUGCUUUUGUACGGAACGAAAAGCCCCGGGUUAAUACCCUGGGGUCAUGACGGUACCGUAAGAAUAAGCACCGGCUAACUACGUGCCAGCCGCCGCCGUAA